AGAGAAUCUGUUAGAUUUAUCUAACAUAUUUAAAAGAAGUAGUGACCUUUAAAGCGACUUGAAACAGAUGUUUUAUUCACAAGCUGUCAUUUUAUUAUAAAGUAUAACACCAAGCACAAAUAAAGUAGAGUCUCGUAGCUCAGCUGGUUAGAGCGCUACACUGAUAAUGUAGAGGUCGGCAGUUCGAGUCUGCCCGAGACUACUUAUUAAUAAAUAAUCGAAAUUCAAAAUUAUUGUUGUUAUACAUUAAGGAAAUUCUAGAGGCUAGAUGUAAUUACGGAUUAGGUAAAUUACUUAUUGCUAAUUAUUGUUUACUAGUUUUUAGUAAGGGGGGAUUAGCUCAGCUGGCUAGAGCACUUGAUUUGCAUUCAAGAGGUCAUCGGUUCGACUCCGAUAUUCUCCACAAUUCUAUAGAAUAAAAUAAGUUCAAAUUGGUAUUUGUUAUCCAACAUUUUAUUACCAUUUUAGGUUUAUUUUAUUUGUUUGACUAGAAGUACGUUCAUUGACAUAUUGAAAAGAUACAAAGAGUAUCAAUUUAUUUUUUUUAUUAGUUUUCAUACUAGUAUUAAAAAUAGGUUUAUACGAGCAAAUAAUAAUAAUUUAGUAAAUUUUUAUAUACAAUUUUAAGAGAAAGAGUAAAAAAGUUAC
rnacentral:tRNA from 1 species